CCAGGGCUUCUGAAGCUGCAUGUUCUCACAUUAAAUUCCAGUUCCUCUAACUCUCAGAUGAGAACUUAGUCCUCUUUUCAUUGAUCAGACAGAGGGGACUACUUAUGAUACUCAAAUUUUAACCCGACCUGGAGCAAGCACUGGUCUCCCAUUCAGGAGAUGAGAAGAAGAAGAAGAUGAUGCCCGGGAACAUGACACCACAUUCUCCAAUGACCAGCAAGAAGACAGAGGCUCCAUCAGCCUUGGAUGUCCACAGCUGGGAGCAGACACCAUCAGUCGCGAGGUGGGGAGCCAUGUCUUUCUCCCUGAGCCACAGUCAUCUAGCUGCACGGCUGCACUGAAAGGAUUCCAGCCAAGAGCACCAUCAUGGGCUGAACUGUGUCCCCCCAAAUGCAUAUGUUGAAGUCCUAACCUCGUAUCUCAGUAUGUGACCAUAUUAGGAGAUUCAGCCUUUAAUGAGGUGAUUACCUUAAUACAAGGUCAUAAGUCUGGGGACCUAACUGAAUCUGACUGGUGUCCUUAUAAGAAGAGACACCGGAAGUGUGUCAACACAGA